AGAACGAACGCUGGCGGCGUGGAUAAGACAUGCAAGUCGAACGCGACUUAUCUGGUUAGCAAUAACUAGGUAAGUUGAGUGGCGAAAGGGUGCGUAACACGUGGGAAUUUACCAAAAAGUGGGGAAUAGCUCAGCGAAAGCUGAAUUAAUACCGCAUGUGAUCGAAAGAUCAAAGUCGGGGACCGCAAGGCCUGACGCUUUUUGAGAAGCCCGCGGCCCAUCAGCUAGUUGGCGGGGUAAUGGCCCACCAAGGCGAUGACGGGUAGCUGGUCUGAGAGGACGACCAGCCACACUGGAACUGAGACACGGUCCAGACACCUACGGGUGGCAGCAGUCGAGAAUUUUUCACAAUGGACGAAAGUCUGAUGGAGCGACGCCGCGUGGAGGAUGAAGGUUUUCGGAUUGUAAACUCCUGUCACUGCAGAACAGGAUACGUCAGUUAACAGCCGACGUAUUGAUGGUAUGCGGAGAGGAAGGGACGGCUAACGUCUGUG
rnacentral:rRNA from 1 species